rnacentral:rRNA from 1 species
UACGUAGGGGGGCUAGCGUUGUCCGGAUUUAUUGGGCGUAAAGAGCGUGUAGGCGGCCAGGUAGGUCUGGUGUGAAAACUCGAGGCUUAACCUCGAGAUGUCAUCGGAAACCAUCUGGCUAGAGUCCGGAAGAGGAGAGUGGAAUUCCUGGUGUAGCGGUGAAAUGCGCAGAUAUCAGGAAGAACACCAAUGGCGAAAGCAGCUCUCUGGGGACGGUACUGACGCUGAGACGCGAAAAGCGUGGGGAGCAAACAGG